rnacentral:lncRNA from 1 species
AAGAAGCCCAGGAAUAGCUAGGGCGGCUCCGAGGAGGGAGCGCGGGGCGCCGGCCCCACGUGCAGCUCCGUGCACCCUCGUGCCCUGCGCGGUGGCCGCCGGGAGCAGGGUGGCGGUGGGACCUUCCUGGAGAGGGAGGCUCCAGCGGCAUGGCGCUGGGGACCCCCCCUUUCCCGGCAGCUCUGGCUCUGCGCCGUGCACCCCCUUCCCGGGCCAGGGCCUGGAAAGCUGCUCCGGAGCRAAGCAGAUGUUGCCGGAGCGCUUCCCAGCCAGCUCGGGGGGCUGCGUGGCCCCGGCUCCCCUGCGCCCCCCCCCAGCCCGGCAACUUUCCCUCUUCCCAGCACGUUCCCGCGGGCAAAGCGGGGCUGCCCGGCGGUGGGAGCGACCCCCCCUGCGCCGCUCCCUGCCCGGCGCCAUCCGGGAGGGCGUGCUGAGACCCAGCGGACUCGCUGCUCUUGUGACUCGCUGCGGGUUUGAGGCCGGGCCUGCCAAGGCGAAAAGCCCCCGAGCUUUCCCGCGGGCUUCCCGGCCCCCGCGGCUUGGCAGCGGAUCAGACCGAAAGGCAGCUCGCCUCGCCGUUAACCCUUCCCCGGCGCGGCGCCUCCCGCCCGCUCCCCUGCCUCAGUUUCCCCUCUGGGCUCUGCUCUCGGUGGGUGCCGCCGGGAUGCCUGGAAACCCGGAGGCGCCGCGGGGCCCUGCUCCGCUCCGGGUAAAUCUGGGAGCGAUCCGGAGGCCCCUCGCAUCCGGCACCUCGCGGCUUGGGCCCUGCUGGGCGCCGGCGCCUCCGGACUGGGCCAGGCGCUGGAGCCGGCCCCGGUGGCUUCCCCGGCUUUGGCACCGGGCAGGGBGGCCUGGCCGGAAAACCCCACGUAGCUCCCAAAAAUGCAGCCGGGUGGAGGGGGGGGGGGGCAGGAUCGCAUCCACACCCCGGCGGCUGCAGCGACCCUUCCCGCGCUCCUGGCUCCCGCCGCUGGGGAUUUUCUGCCCGGCUGAGCCGGGGCCGGGGCCAGGGCCGGGGCCGGGAGCGGUGCCCGGCGGAGCUGAGUCACGGCGCCGGCCCCGGGGGGCGCGGGGAGCGCGGCCAGGGAGUUCCCAGGCUGANNNNNNNNNNNNNNNNNNNNNNNNNNNNNNNNNNNNNNNNNNNNNNNNNNN